UUGUGGAGUAGCACUCCUUCAGUCUCAUUCUUGUUUAGUGGCCAUCACAAUUUUGUCAUCUUUAAUUUUCUAAAUUUUACCUUUCAUUGGACACUAAAAGAAACAAUUAUAUAUAAUCAUUUUUAGCUUAAGAAGAGCUUUUCAGCUAAAGAAAAACUAACAAAACAUCUUUCACUCUAGCUUUUAUUUUAAACUUUAACUUAAAAGCAAAACUAAAGAAAACAAAACAAAUUGAAUAUCAAAGAGUUGAAGCAGCAUCUUAGGAACACAUUACAGAUUAUAGCAUUCUACCCAUGCAAUGUACCUCACGAGGAUGGAGUUGCAUACGGAGGCCAGUAAAGAUGAAAUUGAAUCUUAUAAACAACGGUGAUACCCGUAAGAUCAACAAGAGAAGACGUAACAUGGCCUUGCACAAACAAGAAAUCUUCAGUGCCUCCUACGACUGGAAGAUUGGAGGAUUUGAUGCUAUCCAUGACGCCAACAACAGAAAGGGAGCCCUUGUGGUGCUUCAAACGAAGAGUUAGCUUUGCAAUUGAAAUGCUUCGAAGGCCGUCAAGACUAGAUGUGACUGCAGCUCCUUCUGAGAUCCCAACCAGUUUGGAGGAUCUGUUGGCUGCAACUGUCAAAGGGUCCUGGAAAGCAACCAAGGUGCCAAAAGGGGUUGUGGUUUGACUCAGUGCUGCUCCUCCUUUUAUACCAUCCACUAUGAUAUAAGCUGUUUUGUUUAUGGUCUCAUGUUGAAACAGUGAGAAGUGAAGGGAUUUCAGGUGUUGGAGGUGCUCAUGGGAGCUUGCAAUGGCUUUCCAUUGGAUUAUGGCCAAAACUAAAACACCAAGAACAUACUUCUGUGAGGAAGCCAUAAUAUGUUGAUUGCUUCUUCUCAUCAGAAUGGAUACAACACUGAUAUCUCGUUUCAUUAUAUACAAGAAAAACAUGUUUUUUCUUUUUGGCACAAAACAAUAUUGAUGUCAAUAGAAUCAAUAUCCAAGUCGUUUGAGGUUGUCAUUUAUAUUGUAUAAUAUCAUUUGAUUUUGGCUGCAAGAUUAUUUAGGUUUCUACAAUUAAUACACAAUCAACGUAGUGGAAGUAAAUAGUGCUCUCCAUUUAGUCUUCAAUCCAAUGUUGUGAAAAUUCUCUUAAUGUAUUUAAUGUUUUAUAUGAUUACUAGCCAACAAUUAAUUUUCUUAUCAAAUCCUUUUUGGAGUUAAUUUUGGUUUCAUGUGGACUUAAAAUUCACUUUUUUAUAUUACAUUAAUCUUUUAGAUAUAUAUCUUUAAUUAAAGGGUUUUUAAUAUAUUUAAUCGAUGCUGAAUGUAAAUCGAUAUGUUACAUAAGAUAUGUAUACAUUAAUGUUAAAAAAGAUUAUAUUGAUCAAAUUGAAUUUUAAUAUUUCCAAAAUUAAAAGAUUUAAAUACAUAUAAUUGAAUAUUAAAAUUGAAUUUUUAUAUAUAAUAAAAAAAUAAUAAAAUGUGUUUUGUUGUAAACAUGACAAUAUUAUUUUAAUCCUCUAAAUUAUAGUUUAUUGGAAAAUUUUAAAAAUAAUAUAUAUCAACAUCACGUGCAUCUAAAUUUUGACAUAUCAUAAAUUACCUCAAAAUAAUUGCAACAGGAAAUGAUCGAAAUAAAUUUUUUUUUAGGAAGACUAAAAUGAUCUUAGUGAAGAGAGUUUGAGUAUUAAUUUAUAUGAAAUCUUAGUAUUAAAAUAAAAUUAGUCAUUAUAUUAAAAGUGGACAUUCUCAAUAUUUUCAGUUUUAUAUCAUUUUGUGCACAUUUCACACACUAUGAUUCGUCCAACUUAGGGAAAAAAAAAAUCCAGUCCAUAGUAGUCUUUUCAUACGUAAUCUUAGUUGCUUUUUAGUAUCUUUUUCUAUAAAUUAUAAUAAAUUAGUUGUUAUGCAUUAACCUGAAUUUUAAAAUAUGUUUUUGUCUUUAAAUUUUAAAUUAUGUUAAAUUUUAUUAACUUCUCAAAUAUGUUUUAUAUUAGUAUUUGACUUAUACUGGUUGAUAUGUUUUUCUUUUAAUAUUAGUUAAAAUAUGUUAAAAUAAAUUAAUAUAACUAAAUGAAAAGAAUUAUGUUUAUUAAUUUUAAAAUUUAAAAAGUAAAAUAUAUCCUAGUUUUAAAAAAAUUGAAUUUUAAUUUUGUGUAAAUUUAAAACUAAAAAUAUAUUUAAUUCUAUAAAUAGUUAUACUCAGUAGUGAUGAAAUUUUGGUGUUAAUAAUAAAAAUUAUCUCUUAUAGAAUACGGAUGUUAUUUCUUAAAAAAGUGGAGUACAUAUAUCAUUUCACUAACUCAUUGGACAUACUUAUUAAAUAAAAAAAAAAACAAAUACACAAUAAAUAUAAAUAAAAAGUUCAGUAUUAAAUAUCACCAUAAAUGACAACUUGGUCAUAACUGGUAAAUUAAAAUAAUCUCAAAUUUAUUGAUUUUUUUCCUGACAUAAUAUGACCAUGAACUGAUAUUGUUGGUGGUAAUUCCUCAGAUCCUAUUUUAUUUGAGGAUAAAAUAACUAAUAAGUUCAAUAACACUUCAUUUUUAUUUUGAAUAUGAAAACCAAAAAUUAUUAGGAACCAAAUAAAAGUUUUCAACUUUUUAGUAGGAAAUUUACAAUUGAGAUAUUAUUAUUAUUAUUAUUAUUAUUAUUAUUAUUAUUAUUAUUAUAUUUAAUUUUCACGACUUGGUGGAUUGAAAUUAUUUAACUAAAUCUGUUCCUAAUUAUUAAUAAUACAUUUGGAAUAAUAGAAUAAUAUAAUAUAUAGACUUGAAAUGAGUGGAAUGUUACUUUAUUGUUUGAACACCUUUUAAUGGAAGGGAAAUAAAAUUUAAAUUUCGUAAUUUGAAAAUUGAUAGAUCAAAUUGAGUUAUUCUUACUUAUCAAAGAUGUUGUUAGUACAAUAUUUCUUUCUUAUAUUAUUAUUCUAUUUUUUUUGAUGCGUAUAGGAUGUUCAUUAUGAAUCUUUGAAGAGAUAUAUCUCUUAUAUUUAUGUUUAAAAUAGAAUCGGUAAAUAUAAAUAGUAAAUUUACAAAAAGUUUUUCUUUUUUGUUACAAGCACUCUAAAUUGAGAAAAAGAAAAUUAGGGUUUAACAAGGGAUCAUAUAUUUUGAUAAAUUAAGUAUAAAUGUGAAUGUGAGAUUCCACAUUAGAUCAAAAUAAAGAAGUUGAAUAUCAUAUAAAAAUAAAGUUUUAUAAAUAUAAUGUAUGAAAAUAUUGUGUUUCAUAUAUAACCAAUUCACACUUUUCAAACAGAUAUACAAUAUGAAUGAAAUUCAGAGGAGGAGAAAAUUUGUAGAGUAGAAAUGUGAAUAUAAAGUUUCACUUUAGAAGAAAUUGAAAAGUUAUAUAUUUUAUAGCAUAUAAUAAAAGGUAAAGUUACUUAGUUAAAUAUAACAAUAAAAGAAUAGGGAUAGAAAAUUGUAUGAGUUUUAUAUAAUGUUAAAAUCAUAGUAGUUGGUAUGGUGACAUUACCCUUCCACUUAGGAAAGCAAAAGUCAAGUUGAUUUAUGUAUAUAGAAACAAGAAAAGUGGUAAUAAUGAUGAACAACCACAAUAAAUCUUGCAUUUAAAACAUGUUCACAUCUACUUUUUCAACAUUUGAAUUAAGCUAAUAAUUUAAUUUCCAUUACAAAAAACUUUGGAUCAAGAUUGUUGAAAAAAUUCUUUUACAUUUUUAAAUUUUUUAUAUUUACUUGACUUUAUUUUUAUUCUUCUUUUUAAAAAAUAUUAAAUUUUAUAAUUUUUAAAUUAUUUUAUUUUAUAUUAUAUAUUAAAUGAAUGUAAAAAUGUCUCAUCGUAUGGUAUGUAUAUCGUAUGAUAGAUUGUUAUUACUUUUAAAACAAUAAAUUUUAAUCAGACUUAUCAUGUUUAGCUAUCACAUCAAACUUAGGAUUCUAAACAAUGAAUAUAUGUAAGUUUAAUAACACGUUGAAGAUAAUGGAGUACAGCAAUCUGAAUAGAGCCAAAUGUUUUUUUGUUUAAAUAACACGUUGCAUAUAUUGUGAAUUUUAAUAUGAUAGUUAUUUAAAAUAAUCAUUUUUACUAUAUAAUACUGACAGACUUCACAUUUUAAAAUAAAGAUGUUUUUAACUAUUAAUUUUUAAUAUAUAUUUUACAUAUUUUAAUUGCUUAUAUAGCAUUAAGGGUAAGAAAACAAAUAAAUCUAAGACUUAAUUACUUCAAUGAUUUCCACUUUAGAGGAAUGUGUCAACUUAGUCACCCUUUUUAAUUUUGUGUUAAUUUUAUCUCUAAAUUUGUUAAUAUGCAUCAAUGUAAUCCUUCUUAUUAAUUUUUCAGAAACGACAUUAAGAUUAUGGUUAUGUGGCAGUUAAUAGAUACAUGUCAAAAAUUUUAAUUGUACACUGAAAAUUGGGAAUGUUUAUGUGUCAAGUUUUUCCUUUUAAUGAUACACUGAAAAUGAGAUUGUUUAUGUGUCAAGAUUUUCCUUUUAAUGAAAAAGAUUGAAGUUUUCCCUAACAAGUGGUUUGGGGUUUCCACUGUUUGUUUCUCCUUUGUAAUUGGUUGAUGAAGUGUGUAAUGUCUCGUAAUCAAGCUUGUUCUUCUUGUUCUUGGAGGACACAAAUCUAUAACAUCUCCUCUCUUGGUGGUUGGUUUAGGAGCUUAGGUUUUUCAUUAUGUGAAAGUUGCAAUGUUGAAAGUGGCUAAAACGGUCAAGAAUGAUGGGAAACAAUUUUGAAGUUGUCCUAAAUACAAAGUUUGAUCUAUGAUUUUAAUUUUCAUUUCAAGUAUAUAUUUUUUUUUUCUUAUUAACAAUGAGUGUUUCAUGUUAACAAAAUCUUUGUUAUUAUUGGAUUUUUUUUAAAAAUAGAAUGGAAAUAAAGAUUUUAACGGGUGUAAUUAUUUCAAAUGGAGCAAUGAAGAUAACGGAGAUGAAAUGGGUGUUACUAUUGGUAGACAAAGAAAGAUCUAUAAAUUGAAAAAAUCCUUUAUGGUUUCUAAAAAAUGGGUUAAGUUGCUAAUAAAGAUGAUAUGUUUUAUGGGUUUGAUUAACAUAAUUCUUGUUUGUAUGUUGCUUAAACUUCCAAGAAAUGUUGUAAAAGUGACAUAUGUUGUCAUUAACAAGCUAUAUACUUUAUAGGUUAUACUAAGUGUGAUGUACUUAGUUUUAUAUUGUAAUCUCAUUAAAUGAAUGAAAAGUGUUGUAUGUUUUUAUAAUGUAACUUUAUUAAAUGAAUGAGAAGUUUGAGUAAUAUGUAGAGAAGUAUAGAAGUUAAUUUUUGCUACAAAAUAUACAUGAAAUUAAUUCUAGAUACAUUCAAAUAGAGAAUAUUGUUCUUCAAAAUAAAUAUGUUGCUAAGCAACAUAAGUACAUAUAAUAAGCAAAAUAAAGUGCGGAGAAAAAAAUAAGGUGUUUAAUACAUAUUAAAGUUCCAAAUUAUAUGUAUUUCAAAAUAGGCGAAAUACAUAAUGAAGUUCCAAAUACACAUGGCAGUUGCAAAUUAUACAUAAAUAUAGUUUCAUGGUUUCCAAACUGGGCUCCUCUUAUAUGGAAAUUUCUCUCUAAUGAUGGGUCUUGCAAUUGGUUGAGUUUGUUAGGUUUAUGGGAAUUGGCAUGCAAUAAUUUGACUUCCUUCACGUGGUAUUGUUGGGUCUAUUGAAGUUGGUUGAGUUCCUUCAGAAUGUGCAAGAGGUGUGGUUGUUGGCUUUGUAGUUGGUGAGCUUGCCUAGUCUUCUAUUUGAGAGGUUUGUGAGCAAUUAUUUCUUUUGUGAUCUUAUAUGAUUUUAUCAAGGUUCAUAUAUCUCCUCCAUGGUAGACAAUUCUUAUUUUUCACGUAGUUGUGAUCAUAUAAUGAAACUUUGUUCAUCAGUUAUGGAUCCUGUUCAUGACUUCUUUUUUUAAUGUAAAGGAUGCAAUUGAUCUCUUACAAGGGAAUUUCAUAGUUUCUGCCAACCGAGAACAUAAUCCUUCUCAGAGUCAAGACAUUGAAGCUAUUGCUGUAAGUUCAAUUUCUAGACUAUAUCUUUUUGGUUUUAGAAAAGUUAUCAAAUGCUUCUGUUCCACUGUUUUAAAUCUGUAAUGUUAAACUUGAUUUUUGGAACCAUCUUCUGGGUUCCAAGUCCUUGUGGGUAAUUAUAAUUCAAUAACAUUAAAGUUUUUUUAAAUGGCAGAUUUAUUACUCUACAUGGUGCCUUUUUGCUUUGAUGAUUACUGGAUGCAAUUCCAGAGGAUUUAAAACCAGAUUUGGCUAUCUUGUUACAUACCUAUAAGGAUGUGUUUGCUAUUCCUCAAGGCUUACCUCAUAAUAGGUCACAUGAUCAUCAUAUUCCCUUGCUUCCUAAUGCCAAAAAGAACAAAAUGAGAAAAUGGUAUAUGUUGCAGGAAGGUCUCGUUACCUCUAGGAAAUAGUCCUUUUUCAUCUCCAGUUAGUUGUCUUGUCCUUGUGAAAAAGAAAGAUGAAGCAUGGAGAUUUUGUGUAGAUUAUAGAACCUUGACUGUUAUUAUUAUUAAGGAUAGUUUUCCUAUGUCCACGCUAGAUGAAUUGAUUAACGAAUUAUAUGAUUCCAAAAAAAAUUUCAAAUUAGAUUAAGUCUGAAUAGCACCAAACUUUUGUUAAACAAAGAGGAUUGUUACAAGACUAAUUUUAAUGGCCCUUAUGAGUGGAUAAUCAUAGCAUUUGGUUUGACUAAUUCUCUAAUUACAUUCGAUCCCUCAUGAAUGAGAUUAUGAGAUUUUUACUGGUUUAUUGAGAAAAUAUGAUCCUGUCUUCGUUGAUGAGAUUAUAAUAUAUAGUUCUUCGUGGAAUGAACAUUUGCACCACUUGGAAGUCGUGUUCCAACUUCUAAGGUUGCACCAACUAUUUGCAAAAUUCUGAAAAUGCUCUUUUGGUCUUUCUCAAAUUGAAUAUCUUGACCAUAUAGUCUCGGGUGAAGGAGUAUCAACUGAUGAUGAAUCUGAGACUGUCAAUUGUUGUUUAGAAAUGUACUUGUGUGGUUUAAGUUAUGCAAAUCCGAGGAGUUGGAUCAAGUUCUUGUGAAGGACUCAUAUCACCUUAACAUAGACAUGACAGCUUUUAAGAUGGUAUACAGAAGUGACCCUGUAGAAUUGAUAGGUAUGUCUUGGGUAGUAAUAAUCUUACAUAUUUACAAGAGAUGCUGCCGCAAUCAAGGGACUUGACUCGAUUGAAGGCAAAUCUGUUUGAAGUUCAGCAGAACACGAACAGAAGUGCAGACCAAAAAAGGUUAUAGAUUAAAUUCAAGGAAAAGACAUGGUGCUAGUUAAGUUGCAGCCUUAUAGAUGGAACUCAUCAGCUCUAAGAACAAAAUCAGAAACUAGGCUUUGGGCCUAUUCCAAUUAUGUAUGUAGAAAAUACGUCCUGUGGCAUAAAAUUUGCUUUUGCCAGGCGAAGCCAAAAUACAGAGGAUUAUGUUAUAGGUCAACGACAGGCGUCAAAUGUUUCGGAUGGUCUAAGAAACACACACAAUUUUGUUGAGUAGCACUCCUUCAGUCUCAUUCUUGUUUAGUGGCCAUCACACUGUAAUGCAGAUAUUCAUCACAAUUUUGUCAUCUUUAAUUUUCUUAAUUUUACCUUUCAUUGGACACUGAAAGAAACAAUUAUAUAUAAUCAUUUUUAGCUUAAGAGGAGCUUUUCAGCUAAAGAAAAACUAACAAACAUCUUUCACUCCAGCUUUUAUUUUAAACUUUAACUUAAAAAGAAAACAAAAAAAAAAAAUUGAAUAUCAAAGAGUUGAAGCAGCAUCUUAGGAACACAUAACAGAUUGUAGCAUUCUACCCAUGCAAUGUACCUCAUGAGGAUGGAGUUGCAUACGGAGGCCAGUAAAGAUGAAAUUGAAUUUCGUAGACAACGUUGGGAUCGUAAGGAUUAAGAGGAGAAGACGUAACAUAGCCUUGCACAAACAAGAAAUCUUUAGUGCCUCCUACGACAGGAAGAUUGGUGGAAUCGACGAUAUCUACGAUACCAACAACAGAAAGGGAGCCCUUGUGGUCCUUCAAACUAAGAGUUAGUAUUGCAACUGAAAUGCUUCGGCCGGUAGGACUAGAUAACACUCUAGUUCCUUCUGCGAACCCAACCUGUUCGGAGGAUUUGUUGGCUUCAACUGUCAAACGACCCAGAUAGGCAAACACAUCUGGUCCUCCUUCUAUACCUAAGGUCAAAUCAUGUUGAAACAGUGUAAAGUUAAGGAAUUUCAGGUCUUGGAGGUGCUCAUGGGAGCUUGCAAUGGCUUUCAAUUGGAUUAUGGCCAAAACUAAAACACCAAGAACAUACUUCUGUGAGGAAGCCAUAAUAUGUUGGUUGCUUCUUCUCAUCAGAAUGGAUACAACACUGAUAUCUCGUUUCAUUAUAUACAAGAAAAAUAUAUUUAAUCGAUGCUGAUCAAUAUAAAUCGAUAUGUUACAUAAGUUAUCUAUAUAUUAAUGUUAAAAAACAUUAUAUUGAUCAAAUUGAAUUUUAACAUUUCCAAAAUUAAAAGAUUUAAAUAAGCAUAAUUGAAUAUUAAAAUUGAAUUUUUAUAUAUAAUAAAAAAAUAAUAAUAUGUGUUUUUGUUGUAAACAUGACAAUAUUAUUUUAAUCCUCUAAAUUCUAGUUUAUUGGAAAUUUUAAAAAUAAUAUAUAUUAACAUCACGUGCAUCUAAUCUUGACAUGUCAUAAAUUACCUCAACAUAAUUGCAACAGGACAUGAUCGAAAUAAAUUUACUUUUUUAGGAAUAUUAAAAUAAUCUUAGUGAAGAGAGUUUGAGUAUUAAUUUAUAUGAAAUCUUAGUAUUAAAAUAAAAUAAAAUAAAACUAGUCAUUAUAUUAAAAGUGGACAUUCUCAAUAUUUUCAGUUUUAUAUCUUUUUGUGCACAUUUCACACACACUAUGAUUAGUCCAACUUGCGAAAAAAAAAAAUAUCCAGUCCAUCGUAGUCUUUUUAUAUGUAAACUUAGUUUCUUUUUAGUAUCUCUUUACUAUAAAUUUUUAGUAUGACAUUUAUUAUUAUUAUUAUUAUUAUUAUUAUUUAAUUUUCACGACUUGGUUGAUUGAAAUUAUUUAACUAAAUCUGUUCCUAAUUAUUAAUAAUACAUUUGAAUGUAAUAUUUAAGUCUAUUGAAUAUUAAACUCUAGUAGAGAAUAAAAUGUACUAAAUUAUAUAAUAAUAUAAUAUAUAGGCUUGAAAUAGAGUGGAAUAUUACUUUAUUGUUUGAACACCUUUUAAUGGAAGGGAAAUAAAAUUUAAAUUUCGUAAUUUGAAAAUUGAUAGAUAAUUCUUACUUGUUAAAGAUGUUGUUAGUACAAUAUUUCUUUCUUAUAUUAUUAUUCUUUUUUUUAUGCGUAGGAUGCUCAUUAUGAAUCUUUGAAGAGGUGAACAUAUAGAUUAAAAAGGUAUGAAAAGGAAAAGUAAGAGAUAUAUCUCUUAUAUUUAUGUUUAAAAUAGAGUUGGUAAAUAUAAUAUAGUAAAUUUAAAAAAAAAAAUCUUUUUUUGUUACAAGCACUCUAAAUUGAUUGAAAGAAAAUUAGGGUUUAACAAGGGAUCAUAUAUUUUGAUAAAUUAAGUAUAAAUGUGAAUGUGAGAUUCCACAUUAGAUUAAAAUAGAGAAGUUAAAUAUCAAAAAAAUUAAGUUUUAUAAAUAUAAUGUUUGAAUGAAGUACAUUUGUGUAUAUGGAUAUAUAUCAUAGAUGAAAAUAUUGUGUUUCAUAGUGGUUAUGGUUGUUAAAUUUAGAAAGGAUUAAGUCAGAAAACUGUGUUCACUCUUGUUGGAGAACUUUCAUAUAUAUACAAAUAAUCACAGUCUGUGAAACUGAUUUUCAGCCCACUAAAUAAGCUAAAAUAUCAUAUACAUUUAUUACAUUUAAUUAUCCUAAUUAAGAGAAUAACUGUUACAAGCAUCAAUUUGCCAAUUAGAAAAGAUGUUGUGCUCAAGUUGGAAUCGACGAGCGGCAUUAUUUUGACUAUAAAUCUUCUGCAGAUAAGACCACAUUGUGCUUGCAGUCUUGUAAGGACGAAGAUUCAGGACAAUGUUUGAAUCCACGGAACUUAGGAUCCAGGCCAUGACUCUAGCAUCUUUGACGGCCCACUUAGCAUGAGCGACCUUAUCUUUGUCUUUGUCAGGAGCGGGAGUGCUGCCAUCAACAUGACCUCACAAUUAUUUUUCGAUGACAAAAAUCUGGAAUUGGAAUGCCCAAGCAGAGUAGUUUUUUUUUUUCGUUAAAGCGAACGAACAAGACAUCAUAUUUUUGGAACCCAUGAAGCUAGGAAAAACAGAGACAAGAAGAAUCGAAAAUCGAAAGUUCGAAAGUCGAGAGUCGAGAGUCGAGAGUCGAGAGUCGAGAACAAGAUUGAAAAAACCGCAAACUAGGUUUGGGAAUCGUAACCUAGACUGAUACCAAGAAGAAUUCAAGAAGAAAAAAAAAUCCAAUAAAAAAUUCAAGAGACAGAAACUAGAGAUUGUCCAUUGAAGCAUAAAUGCACAAGUUGAAAAAGAAAUUUUUAGGGGCUGCCGGCGGCCAUGGCGACCGACUGCCGGCAGAUAACAAAGACAGCGGAAGCAGAUCAGACAGACUCUGAUACCAUGUUAAAUUUAUAAAGGAUUGAGCCAGAAAACUGUGUUCCCUCUUGCUGGAUAACUUUCAUAUAUAUACAAAUAAUUACAAUCUGUCAAGCUGAUUUUCAGCCCACUAAAUAAGCUAAAAUAUCAUAUACAUUUAUUACAUUUAAUUAUCCUAAUUAAGAGAAUAACNAGCCNACUAAAUAAGCUAAAAUAUCAUNUACAUUUAUUACAUUUAAUUAUCCUAAUUAAGAGAAUAACCGUUGCAUAUCUUUUCCAUUCAUUGACAAUGGUUUCAUAUAUAACCAAUUCACACUUUUCAAGAUAUACAAUGUGAAGAGAAAAAUUGUGGAGUACAAAUGUGAAUAUAAAGUUUCACGUUAGAAGAAAUCGAAAAGUUAUAUAUUUUAUAAAUAUAAUAAAAGGUAAAGUUACUUAGUUAAAUAUAACAUAAUAAAAAAUACUGAUAGAAAAUUGUAUGACUUUUGAUAUAAUGUUAAAAUUAUAGUAGUUGGUAUACCUUUCCACUUAGAAAAUCAAAAGUGAAGUUGAAUUGUGUAUGUAGGAAGAAGAAAAGUGGUAAUAAUGAUGAGAGGGUUUCUCCCUCAACGUCUCCAAUUUCUCCCUCCACCUCCUCAAAUUUUUCUAUUUUAUUAAAAUGGCCUUUGAUAAAAAUGAUUUUACUUUUACCUUUUACUUUUUAUUUUCUUUUUUUUAAACCUUAAUUCCCUUUCUCUGCAGCCGCAACACCCCUAUCCCCAUCCCAACUCCCGUUCAAUAGAUUUCUUCUUCCUUCUUUCUCUUAUCUCUUCUUCCACUUCUACACUUUUCAAAUUCUUAAUCCCCUUUUCCUUUCAGUGCAGCGCCGCAGCACUCCACCUACCUCCACACUUUUGGAUUUUUUCUUCUUCUCUCUUUCUCUUACAUCUCUUUAUCUCUUCUUUAAAUUCAAAAGUUCCCGAGUACUUCCAUUUUUGAGCUUUGUUCUCGUUGGAUUUUCAAUAGAAAUGGAAAUUAGAUUCAACGGAAAUGAAGAACCGUUGAAUGUUCAACGAAAAUGGAGAUCCGUUGAUUUUUUCAACAUGUGGAGGAAGAAACAUGUGGAGGUGGAGAGAGAAAUCCUCUAAUGAUGAACAACCACUAUAAAUCUUGCAUUUAAAACAUGUCCACAUCUACUUUUUCAACCUUUAAAUUAAGGUAAGAUGUUAUUUUCAAAAGAAAUAUCACCAUCCAAAGAAAAUAGCAAAAGCCUAAAUUGUCCACUCUUUUAAUAAUUUAAUUUCCAUUACAAAAACUUCGGAUCAAGGAUUGUUGAAAAAAAAAAAUUGAGAUAUUUAAAUUUUUUUAUAUUUAUUUCACACUAUUUUUAUUUACUUUUUAUUUUUUUCUUUCUUAAAAAAUACAAAAUUUUAUAUUUUUAAAAUUAUUUUCUUUAUAUUAUAUAAGAAAUAAAUAUAAAAAAUUGUUAUAGUUGAGUUGCUCAGGAUUGCUAUUGCUUUUAAAACAAUAAAUUUUAAUUAGACUUAUCAUGUUCUGCUAUCACAUCAAACUUAGGGUUGUAAACAAUGAAUACGUGGAAGUUUAAUAACACGUUGAAGAUAAUGGAGUACAGCAAGCUGAAUAGAUGCAAACCCAUCUUACCCUCUAUAUUAUUAUAUAUUAAAUGAACGUAAAAAUGUGUAUCCUAGGAUAGAUUGUUAUUACUUUUAAAAGAAUAAAUUUUAAUGAGACUUAUCAUGUUUAGCUAUCACAUCAAACUUAGGAUUGUAAACAAUGAAUAUGUGUAAGUUUAAUAACACGUUGAAGAUAAUGGAGUACAGCAAUCUGAAUAGAGCCAAAUGUUUUUUUGUUUAAAUAAUACAUUUCCUUCCAAUCCAAUGCAAACCCAUCUUACACUCUAUAAAUUGCUGUUUUCUGUCCUACUCAAACAAUUCAAAACAAAACCUACCAUACAACCUUUUCAUAGCUUAUGUUAUUAAAAAGUCAUAGACUGUUAUAGUAUCUUAAAACAAAUAUGAUAAAGUAUAAUUUAUACAUUUAUUUAUAAUAUUUUCUAAAUAAUGUAGUUCUGUGUAGGAUAUAUCAUUUCUCCCACGUGCAACAUUUUAUUCUAUUGUAUCUUCAAAGUUUUUCUUUUUAUCAUCUUUUAUUUUACUUAAACUCUUGUAAUUUAAAUUUUAUAAAAACAAAAUAAAAAAUUAACUUAUAUAUAUAUAUAUAUAUAUAUAUAUAUAUAUAUAAUUAAAAUAAAAUAUUUUGUUAAAUAAGAUGAGAAUAUUAUAAUUCUUACAAAAUAUUAUAAGAUAUUAAUGAUCUCAAUCAUCAUUGUUUAUGAAUAUAUAUCUAUAUAUAUAUAUAUAUAUAUAUAUAUAUAUAUAUAUAUAUAUAUAUAUUAAUGUAGUAUUUUAUUCAUUUAAUUUGUUAUAAAAAUAUUCAUACAUACAUACAACAACAAAAUUGCAUAUAUUGUGAAUUUUAAUAUGAUAGUUAUUUAAAAUCAUCAUUUUUUACUAUAUAAUACUCACAAACUAUCACAUUUUAAAAUAAAGAUAUUUUUAACUAUUAAUUUUUAACUGAUAUAUUUUACAUAUUUUAAUUGUGUAUAUAGCAUUAAGGGUAAGAAAACAAAUAAGACCUAAUUACUUCAAUGAUUUUCAGUUUGGAGGAAUGUGUCAACUUAAUCAUCGCUUUUAAUUUUGUGUUAAUUUUGUCUCUAAAUUUGUCAAUAUACAUCAAUGUAAUCUUUCCUAUUAGUUUUUUAGAAACUACCUUAAGAUUGUGGUUAUGUGGCAAAGGUUAACAAAUACAUGUCAAAAAUUUUAACUGUACACUGAAAAUGGGAUUGUUUAUGUGUCAAGUAUUUCCUUUUAAUGGUACAAUGAAAAUCAGAUUGUUUAUGUGUCAAGUUUUUCCUUUAGUUUAAUAUCUAUUUUGAUUCCUCGGUUUGUAGGAUGUAUUCAAAGUUGUCCUUCUUUUUCUCAAAAGUUCACAAUCAUCCUGUAUUUUGUAAAAACAAUUCAAGUUGAUCAUUUUUCUUACGACAUUAAAAAACUAACAACAAAGUUGCUCUCGUGGCCAAAAUUAAAUGAGUUGUCCGAUUAAUCCAAUUAGUUGGCAAACUCAGCCAACAAGAGACUGCCACAUGGCAAUCCUCUUUCCACUCAAACCCUAAUCCCUUUUCCCCUUUCUCUGUUCAACGUUGAGGUUUCCAACACCGUCAUCGCCCCGUGUGCCUUCGCUCUCUCCACUAUUGUUUCGCGCCCCAUCUCCCCACCCUUCUGCACGAUCACCACGCACCUGCUCACUUUCACUCCCAUUGUGCCCAACACACGGUAGUCCAUCUCCCUUCCGUAGCAGAUGGAGCAUAAGGUCUUCUCGACAAGACACUGCUCCGUGCUCAGGAUCCACCUCGUCCAUUUUUUUAUCACAUUGAAUACAAGCCUGCACCAAUCAUGAAGACCAACCUGCAACCCAAAAACCAGGCUUUGAUGACCCUGCCCCUACCGUCUCCACUUUCAAACUCACCUGUGACCAACUCAACAGCCUCAAGGCUAAGUCAAAACCAACAUGGUAUGCUACCAGCAGAAUCCACGAUGUAUUAAUGCGAAUGGACAACAAAUAUUCGAGAUCCAUUUUUCACUAUUUAGAGUUACAACCUGAUCUAAAAGUGCUUGUUCGUGGAUCGCAUACUCUGGGUGUCCCAACCUUGGCAACACUAGCUGGGUAAGGCUUCCAAUCCAUGAUGCUGACUUUAGGUGAGGAAGACCCAUUUUCAUGGGACCUGGUAGGAUUGCCUAUGAGGGGCUUUCUUUCAUUAUUCCCAGCUCUACAAAUGAUGGCAGCAUGUCACCGAGGGCCUUCGCCAAAAUGCGCUGAGAGGGAGGAGUGAACUAGGAAAGAGAGGAAUGUUGAGUUUGAGGAAGUAGAGAUAAAAAGUUUUUCCAUCAGAGAGAAGUUUUCAGAGGAGGAGGGUGUGAAGAGUGAGGAAAACGCAGAGAGUAGAAUCAGAGAAUGCCACGUAAUGAUAAAUUGUACAAUUCAUUCAGGUUUUGCCACGAAGGCAUCUCUGCCGAUUUUUUUAACGCCGUAAGCAAAAAGGACCGACGUGAACCUUUUUUGCAAAAUAUAGGACGAUUGUGAACUUUUGAAAAAAAAGGAGGAUAACUUUGAACAGACCCUUCAAACUGAGGGACCAAAAUAGGUAUUAAACUUUUUCUUUUUAAUGAAAAAGAUUGAAGUUUUCCCUAACAAAUGGUUUGGGUUUCCACUGUCUGUUUCUCCUUUGUAGUUGGUUGAUGAAGUGUGGUCCUAAAUAAAUGUUGGUUGAUGAAGUGUGUAAUGUCUCGAAAUCAAUCUUGUUCAUCUUGCUUGUGGGAGGCACAAAUCCAUAGCGUCUCCUCUCCUGGUGGUUGGUCUAGGGGCUUAGGUUUUCCAUUGUGGAGAGGUUGCAGUAUUGAGAAUGGCUAAAACUGUCAAGAAUAAUGAGAAACAAUUUUGGAGUUAUCCUAAAUACAAUGUUUGAUCGUUUUAAUUUUGGAGUCAAGAAUAUAUAUAUAUAUAUAUAUAUAUAUAUAUAUAUAUAUAUAUAUAUAUAUAUAUAUAUAUAUAUAUAUAUAUAUAUUCUUAUUAACAACGAGUGUUUCCUUUUUACAAAAUCUUUUUUAUUGUUGGAUUUUUUUAACAAUAUAGUGGAAAUAAAGAUUUUAAAGGGUGUAAUUAUUUCAAAUGGUGUAAUGAAGAUAAUGAAGAUGAAAGGGGUGUUACUAUUGGUAGACAUAGGAGAAAGAUCUAUAAUUUGGAAAAAUCCCUUAUUGUUAAUAGGGAUUAUAUGUUUUGUAGAUUUGAUUAACAUAAUACUUGUUUGUAUGUUGCUUAAACUUCCAAGAAAUGUUGUAAAAGUGACAUAUGUUGUCAUUAGCAAGCUAUAUACUUUAUAGGUUAUAGUAAGUCUAAUGUACUUAGUUGUAUGUUUUUGUAUUGUAAUCUCAUUAAAUGAAUUAGAAGUGUUGUAUGUUUUUAUAAUGUAAUUUUAUUAAAUAAAUGAGAAGUUUGAGCAAUAUGUAGAGAAGUAUAGAAGUUAAUUUUUGUUGUAAAUACACAUGAUAUUAAUUCUAAAUACACUCAAAUAGAGAAUAUUGUUCUUCAAAAUAAAUAUGUUGCUAAGCAACACAGGUAUAUAUAGUAAGCAAAAUAAGGUGCUUAGAAAAAUAAGGUGCUUAGUACAUAUUGAAGUUCCAAAUUAUAUGUAUUCCAAAAUAUGCAAAAUACAUAAUGAAGUUCCAAAUACAUAUGGCAGCUGCAAAUUAUACAUAAAUAUAGUUUUAUGGCUUCCAAACUGGGCCCCUCCUAUAUGAAAAUUUCUCUCUAAUGAUGGGUCUUGCAAUUGAUUGAGUUUGUUAGGUUUAUUGGAAUUGACAUUCAAUAAUUUGACUUCCUUCAAGUGGUAUUGUUGGGUCUAUUGAAGUUGGUUGAGUUCCUUCAGUAUGUGCAAGAGGUGUGCUUGCUGGCUUUGUAGUUGGUGGGCUUGCCUAGUCUUCUAUUUGAGGGGAGGGGCUUGUGGGCAAUUAUUUCUUUUCUGGUCCAAGUUCUCUACAUAUCUCACAUCUAUUAUGUGUUUCAUAUUGUCUUAGUUGUGUUUCAUCAUUCUUUAACUCUCAAGACUCUAGUUUUAAUUUUUCUUUUUUUUUUUUAUCUUCCAGGCAAGUCCCAUUGGAGGCAAAACAUCAUGAUUAGAAGUCAUCUCCCAUAGAUGAGAACCAUUAAUAGGGUAUAUCACUGAAAGGUAUGUUUCUACAACAACCUUAAGUUGACCCUCACCCUCCAUAUCAACUUCAGGUUCACAUUCAUCUUCACCCUUAACCUCAUCGAUACAACCACCCUUAUUACUAUCACCCUCAUGAGAAAAAUAUUCCAACAUAUUUACUAUUUGAGGCUCGAACACUAUGUGUACAACAUACAAGUGAACUUUACCAUUGAGUGUGGCAAUGUUCACCAUAUGACAUGUCAUUUUGUCAUCACACAAAAAUUUCAAACUUCCUUCCAACACAAAACCUUCACCUAUUGAAUACCACAUUCCUUUACAAUGACGUAACUCAUCUCCUACAAAAUUGACAAAAAUCUCAAAGUAGUUCCAUUUGUCUGAGUCACAUAACAAAGUACUGCUUUCUCCAAAAUAUUUCAAUGACUCGUUAUUCAUAUACUUUCCAUCAUGGUGAAACACUACAUCAAAACUCGACUCAUACAUCUCAACUAAUACACACACCUCUAUGAUAUAUGAAAAUGCCCUAAGAAUAUAAAAGAUAUUACAUUACAUACCAUAAACACACUAAAAAACGAAUUUAAAAUGGGGACCACAACCUCAAGAUCCACACAUAUGUGGACCACCACUAUCAACUAAUUUCAUAAACAACCACGUAUAUUAAAAGUGGGCAUUCUCAAUAUUUUCAGUUUUAUAUCUAUUUGUGCAUAUUUCACACACUGUGAUUAGUCCAACUUGCAAAAGAAAAAUAUCCAAUCCAUCAGUCUUUUUAUAUGUAAACUUAGUUUCUUUUUAGUAUCUCUUUACUAUAAAUUUUUAGUAAGACAUUUAUUAUUAUUAUUAUUAUUAUUAUUAUUAUUAUUAUUAUUAUUAUUAUUUAAUUUUCACGACUUGGUUGGUUGAAAUUAUUUAACUAAAUCUGUUCCUAAUUAAUAAUAAUACAUUUGGAUGUAAUAUUUAAGUCUAUUGAAUAUUAAACUCUAGUAUUAUAAUAUAAUAUAUAGGCUUGAAAUAGAGUGGAAUAUUACUUUAUUGUUUGAACACCUUUUAAUGGAAGGGAAAUAAAAAUUAAAUUUCGUAAUUUGAAAAUUGAUAGAUAAUUCUUACUUGUUAAAGAUGUUGUUAGUACAAUAUUUCUUUCUUAUAUUAUUAUUCUUUUUCUUUUUUCUUAUGCGUAGGAUGCUCAUUAUGAAUCUUUGAAGGGGUGAACAUAUAGAUUAAAAAGGUAUGAAGAGGAAAAGUAAGAGAUAUAUCUCUUAUAUUUAUGUUUAAAAUAGAAUUGGUAAAGAUAAUAUAGUAAAUUUAAAAAAAAAAAUCUUUUUUUUACAAGCACUCUAAAUUGAUUGAAAGAAAAUUCGGGUUUAACAAGGGAUCAUAUAUUUUGAUGAAUUAAGUAUAGAUGUGAAUGUGAGAUUCCACAUUAGAUUAAAAUAGAGAAGUUGAAUAUAAAAAAAUAAAGUUUUAUAAAUAUAAUGUUUGAAUGAAGUAUAUUUAUUUAUAUUUAUAUUUAUAUAUAUAUAUAUAUAUAUAUAUAUAUAUAUAUAUAUAUAUAUAAUAGAUGUAAAUAUUGUGUUUCAUAGUGGUUAUGGUUUCAUAUAUAACCAAUUCACACUUUUCAAGAUAUACAAUGUGAAGAGAAAAAUUGUGGAGUACAAAUGUGAAUAUAAAGUUUCACGUUAGAAGAAAUUGAAAAGUUAUAUAUUUUAUAGAAUAUAAUAAAAGGUAAAGUUACUUAGUUAAAUAUAACAUAAUAAAAAAUAGUGAUAGAAAAUUGUAUGACUUUUGAUAUAAUGUUAAAAUUAUAGUAAUUGGUAUGGUGACAUUACCCUUCCACUUAGGAAAUCAAAAGUGAAGUUGAAUUGUGUAUGUAGGAAGAAGAAAAGCGUUGGAGUGCAAACAAAGUCCCACAUUGAGUAGAAGAAGGGUUGGUCAAGAGUUUAUAUAUACAUAGAUUUCUCCAAUGGUAAGAAGCUUUUUGGAGUGGUACCAAAAGCAAAUCCGUGAGGGCUUGGCCCAAAGCGGACAAUGUCUUACCAUGUGUGGAGAUAUAUGUGUGUGUCAAACCUCCCCCGUGUGUGUCGCACCUCCCCUCAACAAAAAGUGGUAAUAAUGAUGAGAGGGUUUCUCCCUCCACCUCUCCAAAUUUUUCUAUUUUACUAAAAUGGCCUUUGGUAAAAAAGAUUUUACUUUUACCUUUUACUUUUUACUUUCUUUUUUUUUAAACCUUAAUUCCCUUUUCCCUGUUAUUGCAGCCACAACACCCCCACCCCACCCUCGUUCAAUAGAUUUCUUCUUCUUCCUUCUUUCUCUUAUCUCUUCUUCCACUCCUACACUUUUCAAAUUCCUAAUCCCCUUUCCCUCUCAAUGCAGCGCUGCAGCACCCCACCUACCCCUACACUUUUGGAUUUUUUCUUCUUCUCUCUUUCUCUUACAUCUCUUCAUCUCUUCUUUAAAUUCAAAGGUUCCCGAGUGCUUCCAUUUUUGGGCUUUGUUCUCGUUGGAUCUUCAAUAGAAAUGGAAAUUAGAUUCAACGAAAAUGAAGAACCGUUGGAUGUUCAACGAAAAUGGAGAUCCGUUGGUAUUUUCAACAAAUUUCAAUAUCCGUCAAUGAAUAUCACUAUUAAGUUCAAUCUUUCUUUUUUUUUGUUUCAUAUGUUCGUAAUUGUUGUUGAAUCCCAUUUUUGUUGAACUUGUUAAUAAGCCUAGAUUUGGCUGCAGAGUUACAAUAUUAUUGCUUCAUGUAUAAACUUUCAAAAGUAUAUUAGAGUAUGAAAUUACACGUUAACUUAACCCGUGGUGGUUCUACGGUUUUUCAUUUUAAUUUAGUUUUGUAGGUCAUCUGCUAAUGUUGAAACUGGGUCUCAAUCGUUGAACCAGUUACUGCUUCCAGCGCUCUCAACAUCAAAUGAAUUAACUCCCCUGCAAAGGUUGAUCCUAAAGUGGAUGCAGAGACUUCACUUGCUCUCGUUCCUUUAGGCGAAUAGAGAAAUGGAUCUUCCAUUUCUUACGUUUUUUACUCUUUUUUUUCUUUUUUUAACUUUUUAUUGAGGGGCAAACGUAGAAUGAAGAGGUGGAGGAAGAAACAUGUGGAGGUGGAGGUGGAGGGAGAAACGUUUUAAUGAUGAACAACCACUAUAAAUCUUGCAUUUAAAACAUGUUCACAUCUACUUUUUCAACAUUUAAAUUAAGGUCAGAUGUUAUUUUCAAAAGGAAUAUCACCAUCCAAAGAAAAUAGCAAAAGUCUAAAUUGCCCACUCUUCUAAUAAUUUCCAUUACAAAAACAUCGGCUCAAGGAUUGUUGAAAAAAAAAUUGAGAUAUUUAAAUUUUUUAUAUUUAUUUCACACUAUUUUUAUUUACUUUUUAUUUUUUAUUUUUUUUUGUAAUUUUUACUCUAUGUAAGAAUUUCACACUUUUAUUAAUCUUUUAUUUGGAAGAUGCAGAAAUAUAAAAGAAAAUUUUAAAUUUUUAUGACCUAUAUUCUUAUUUUUUAUGUUACAUUACCAUACUUUGUGCUUUAUUUGGGAGAUCUUAUAAGAUUAAUAUUUUAUUUUUGUAACCCCUGGGAGAUGCUCUUAUAUUGGUUUCAAAGGAAAUGUAAUAAUUCUCUUAAAUAAACUCUCAAGUCUGAAUUUAGUGAAUUAAAAAAUAUAUAUAACUGGAAGUGAAGAUCCUAAAAAAGUGGUUUAUGAAGUUUUUCUACGUAUAGAUUAAUCAUUUACAAAAUCAAUAUACAUCUAUAAUUCUAUAAUAUGGUAAAAAAAAUACAUUAUUGGAAAAACUUGUUAUGUUUGAGAUUGCAAGAAAAAAGUAAUUGCAAAAUUGUAUUUAUGAUAUGAGUUUAAUAUUAUGCACUGCAGUACCCAAAGGCUAAAUGACCUUGGUGACGAGUCUAGGUCGCUUCCCCUUUGGAGACAGGUAAUAUAUUGCCUUUGUUAUAGAAGAAUUUUACUACCCAAAAAUUGAAAAGUUUGCUCUUAUCAAUGUAUAUAUGCAAACAAUGCAACUGUGGUGAUUCAAUCUGAUUUUCUAUUUUUUGCUUAUGUUACCAAUGCUUUAACACAGGCAGAGCCUCGAUUUCUUGGAAUAAUUAUCUGUUGGAAGUGCUCAUAGAGAACAAGGUAGGCUGUUUUAAACUUGUUCAUAUACUUUUUUGGUUCCUUGAUUUCUUAUGCAUUCGUAUAUUACUAAGUAAUUAAUAAUGUUUUAAUUCUGUGCAUGCAGCUUGACCCAUACUUACUCCCUAUCGUCCAGGGCAGUAUCCUUAUCCCAUCGUUAUAUAUGUAUUCCUUUACUCAUUUUUUGACGAGUAAUAUUUGCUUUAUUUUGACCAUUUAUACUGUUAUAUGUCAAUCAAUCAAUUAUUUCUUUUUAGGAUUAUCCUUAACAAAUCAUUAGGUUUUCAUCACUUUGAAUCUGCUAUCGGGAAAGAUAUUAUUGAAAUCACGUUAAUCGCUAGGAGAUGCACGAGAAGAAAUGGUAUUUAAUAUGUUUUAAUAAAUUUGUAUUUGUUUCUUCAUUAUCUAUGCACUUACGAAGUUUUUACUUGUGCUUUGUUUACCAUUUGGAAAAAUCAACCUUUUCUGCCAUUAAAUUAAUGAUGUCGUUAAUUUGAAAGAUUGUUAGGAUGGUUUGCACUUUGCAACUAUCGUGUUCUUCUUUAGGUCUCUACUAAUUAUUGUUCCUAUUUGAAGAUCCACUAGACAAACCAAAACCCCUCACUACACUGUUCUCUUACCAACCAUACCCAUAGUCCUUCUUACAAUCUUUCAUCAACCAGAUCUUUUGUGCCCAAGAGCCCUUUUUCAUCAAGCUUUAUCUUUUGUAAAGAGUGUCCCAAGUGAUGAAAUUAAGGCAUUAGAAGCAAACCAUGCAUACUUGGUCUCUUGGUAACUUGGCCUCCUGGGAGACAUUGUAGGGUGGGUUUAUAAAUUGGAACACAAACCUGAUAGAUAAAUAUAUAAAUAUAAAGCUCAUUCGGUGGCCAAGGGAUACAUACAAUAGGUUGGCGUUGAUUUUUUUAUAUCUUUUCUCCUGUUAUAAAGCUCACUUCAAUUUGAAUCCUCCUUGAAAUAGCAGCAACCAAAAAUUGACAUCUUGUUCAAAUGGAUGUCAGUGAUGCUUUUUUCUUUUCUUUUCUUAGUUGAUUUUUUUUUGGAGGUUUAUACAAAGGUUACUUUGUGUAGACCAUAUAUUUAUUUUGAGAUCAUACAUCGCUCUAUUCAACUUGCAGACCAUAGAUUUAUCUUAAGCUUCAACAUCAAAAAAAAUUAUUUACACCAAGUUGAAAUAUAGGCCAUUUGUGACUAAGUUCACGAGUGAGAAUGUGAAUCAUGGCAGGUCUAAUAAUAGGAGAUAAUGUUCUGAAAAUCAUAUUCAAACCUUUUAUUAAAUCUUUCUGCCACCAAUCUAGCCUCGUAAUUGUUUAUUGAGCUAUCUCCAUUUUCUUUGACUCUGAGAUCCUUUUUGCUUCCAACGUGAAUCCUGCUUGGAGAUAAAGGAACAAGAAUCCAAGUAUUGUUUUUCUAUAAAGCAACAAACUAUUUUAGGAUAACCUAUUUAUGAGGUAAACAACAAUGGUGAGAGCAUGAUAAGAUUUAGGGAAGAGAGGUUUGACUAAUAAGAAGAGAAAGACUCAUUUCAACUAUGUGUCAUGUUUUCUCUUCACCACUUUGGCGAUGAGUAAUAAAUGAUGAAUAAUGCCCCAUCUUAUUAAGUUAGCAAAUAAUAACAUGAAAUUCCCACCCCUUCCCCCCAAUAAUGUGUUUAUAUAUUAAAUUGCAACUCAACCAUGCUUUUGAACUGUUUAAAAACUUUCAAGGCAUUAGAUUUAUUUUUAAGAAGAUCUAUCCAUGUGAAAGAUGAGUGGGCAUCUGUAAGGAAGUUGCACGGAAAAAAAAUGCCAGAGAAGAGAGAAUAUUCAGAGAAGAGAAGAGAAAAAUUUCAGAGAAGGAAUUUUACUCAUAUAUUCUUGUCCCCCUCUAUUACAGUAUUGUAUUAUAUAUGCACUUGGUUCUGCCUUGCAGUAAUAAUCAUGUGCAGAUAGCAAUAAAAGAAAAAAAUACAAUAAUAAUUCCAAUCAUUUCUUACUAACCGAAUUCCCCUUUUUACUGUUUGUUGGACACGUGACCACAUAAUCUUUUAGGCGAUGUGGUUGUUUUGUGAUUUUUUGGCUCUCUCCUCUAACAGAUUCUUAACUGCUGGAGCUGGAGUAACAAAUGUGUUUGGGCUUCUGGAAGGAGUGAGGGAAAUGGGCCCUUCAGCCCUUACAUCUCCUAUGGGUUCGAGAAACACCUUGUCCUCGAGGUCGAAUUGUUGUUGAAUCUGUACCCAAGGUUCCCAGCUUGCUUCCUCAAGAGGUAGACCUUGCCACUCAAUCAGGACUAGAAUUUUUGGAGGAGUAGAAUUAUCCCAUUUCCAGUCCAGAAUGGCAACUGGUUCUUACACAAGCUGAUUAUCCUCAAUGUCAGGUGGAAGUGGCAAGGGGGAAGAGGGUAUUGGCCCUUUGUGAGGAUGAAGGAUGUUAACAUGAAAGACGUUGUGAAUCUUGGCAGUAGGGGGAAGGUCCACUUCAUACGCAACCUCUCCAAUUUUCCUUGUGAUUUUGAAAGGGCCAAAAAAUCAUUUCGUAAGUUUCCCAUGGGUAAUGCCUGUCACAGAGGAUUGUUGACGAGGACGAAGACGAAUGGACGGAGACGAAUGUAAACCCAAUUAUCUACCUCAAACUGUAAGUCUCUUCGAUGGCGGUCAACCCAUUUCUUCAUUGCGGCUUGAGCCUUCUGCAAGUUAGAGGCAAGCUUUUGAAGAAUCUCAGCGCGGGCGAAUAUUUCGUGUUGCACUGCUGCAUUAGAAGUUUCCUCGGGAAGGAAGGGAGGCAUGAGUGGGGGCUUGCGACCAAAAAUUACCUCAAAAGGGGUGAAUCAAGUUGACGCAUUCACUGAAGUGUUGAAACUCCAUUCUAUCCAAGAAAGAAACUUGCCCCAAAGGGAAGGCUUGUGGUGGACAAAGCAGCGAAGGUAUUGUUGUAAUACCUUGUUGGUGACCUCUGUCUGACCAUCCGUUUGUGGGUGGUAGGCAGUUGACAUACGCAACUUAGUGCCACUUAGGCGGAACAGUUCCUGCCAAAAAUGAUUGAGGAAAAUAGGAUCACGAUCGGAAAUGAGGCUGUGUGGUAAACCGUGAUGUUUGCAAACUAUAUCAACAAAUAAUUGUGCCACAUUGAAUGCGGUGAAAGAUCUUGGUAGCAUUCCAAAAUGAGCGCCCUUAGAGAACCUGUCCUCGACAACCAAGAUAGUGGUGAAUCCCUUCUAAGAAGGAAGACCAAUGAUAAAGUCAAGUGAGAGAUCUUCCCAACAUUGAGAAGGAGGGGCAAUUGGUUGAAGUAAACCAGGUUGGCCGUGUGUAGAGAGUUUAGUCUGCUGGCAUGUGACGCACUGUUCAACAAAUGCCUUAACAUCUCUGCGGAUAGUGUGCCAAUAGAAAUUAUCCAGUAGUUUACUCAAGGUUCGUGAAAUCCCUAUAUGUCCAGCCAUUGGAGUAGAAUGAAACUCAUGUAGUAAGAGUGGAAUGAAAGGGCACGUAUGAGGUAACCAUAUUUUGUUUUUGAAGAGAAUGAGAUCCUCCUUUAAAGCAAAAAGAGGGAAAUCUUGUGGGUCAGCCGUAAUCUUGUCUCGUAGAGUGAAAACUCGUCAUUACUCUGUAGGGAUGACUUGAGGUCCGACAAGAAUUUUGAAUUUGGGAUAGACAAUACCAUAAGCGAAUCUAUGGUUGGAGGAGCAGAAGCAUCAAGUCGAGAGAGAGCAUCAGCGGCUGCAUUGCUCUUGCCGGGACGGUAUUGUAUUUCAAAGUCAAAGCCAAGCAAUUUGAAGAGAUAUUUUUGUUGCUCCGGUGUGAGAAGUGUCUGCAGAUAACAAUUCCUUAAUGGAUCGUUGAUCUGUUUGGAUGACAAAAUGACGACCUAAGAGGUAUUGGCGCCAUUUCUGAACAGCAGUAGUUAUGGCACAGAAUUCGCGUAUAUAUAUGGAGGAAUUACGUAGUUAUGCCACAAAAAAUUAUCCUUCUUAAGGAGCUCAGUGAGGGGAUGGGCAAUGGAUGCAUAGCCUGAAACAAAUUUGCGAUAGAAGCCUGUAAGGCCAAGAAAGCCAUGUAGGGAUUUGACAGUAGUGGGUGUAGGCCAAUUCCUUACCGCGAGCGAUAGAAGCCUGUAAGGCCAAGAAAGCCAUGUAGGGAUUUGACAGUAGUGGGUGUAGGCCAAUUCCUUACCGCGAGCGAUAGAAGCCUGUAAGGCCAAGAAAGCCAUGUAGGGAUUUGACAGUAGUGGGUGUAGGCCAAUUCCUUACCGCGACGAGCUUCUCCUGGUCUGUUUUAACACCCUCAUAGGAAACCAUAUGCCCAAGGUAUUGUAUGGAUUGGUGCCCGAUAAAACAUUUGCUUCCCUUAAGUCUGAAACUAUUGGAAAACAGUAACUGGAAAGUGGUCUCCAAGUGGCGGACAUGCUCAAAGAGAGUAGCACUGUACACAAGAAUGUCAUCGAAGAACACUAUGAUAAAACGCCGUAAAUGAGGACGAAAUAAAUCGUUCAUAGUAGCUUGAAAUGUGGAGGGUGCUUUACAUAAACCAAAUGGCAUGACGCGCGAAACUCGAAGUGCCCAUUGUGAGUUCGGAAUGCAGUUUUCUCAGAAUCAGCAGGCACCAUGAGUAUUUGAUGAAAACCCGAGAGAAGAUCCAAUUUAGAAAACCAUGAUGCAUGUCCCAAUUCGUCAAGUAAUUUGUCGACGGUGGGUAUUGGGAAUUUGUCCUUAAUGGAGGCAACGUUGAGGGCCCUGUAAUUAACGCAGAAACGCCAUGUUCCGUCUUUCUUUUUGACGAGAAGGAUUGGAGAGGAGAAUGAGUUGUUGCAUGGCUGGCUUGAUGAAACCAGAAUCUAGCAUUCUCUGAACUUGGGUUUCAAUUUCUUGCUUCUGAAAAUAUGGAUAGUGGUAUGGUCUCACGGAUAUAGGAGGUGUGUUUGGGUUUAAUGUAAUUGAGUGGUCAGUAGGGCGUGGUGGAGGAAGGGCAGUGGGGAUGGAGAAUAAUGUGUUGUAUUGGGAUAUGAGGGCUUGCAGUGUAGGUUCAGUUGAGGAAGGAAGGGGUGAACUGGCGGGGGAUGAAGUUGUGAUAAUGGGAGGAAUUGGAAGAGGGUGGGAGUCCAUGGUGAGUUGAAAAAGGACAUCAAUCCUAUUAGUGGAAUGUAAACGGCGAAGCUGGUGGGCUGAAAUGGGUGAGGGAUUUGGACCCGGAUCCCCUCUUAACUCCACAAGUCUGUUUUUCCAAUUGAACCGCAUAAAUGGGCCGUUAUAGUCCAUCACAAACGGGCUUAUCAAUGAAAGCCAAUGAACCCCAAGAACCACAUCAGUGCCCGACAAUUCAAGAGGAUACAAAUCAACAGGAAAUUCUUGGUUUUCCAGAGUGAGUAUAACAUGGGGACAAAAAUUAGAACAUGGCAGAAACUCACCGUUACCUACCAUUACACGUAAUGGACUUGGUGUGGGUUGUGAUGGUAAAUGGAGGAACUGUGCUUACUCUGUUUUCGAUGAAGUUGUGCGUUGCCCCCACUAUCGACCAAAAUCUGGACAGCAUAACCUUGUAUGGAUCCUGUGACUCGAAAUGUUCUAGGAGUCCAUUGACCCGAAAAGGCAUGAAGACCGAUGAGCCCAGCCUUUUGUGAGGUGUUCUCCACAGCUAUUGCGUCCUCAGAGGAUAGGCAAUCCUCUUGGUUGUCAGUGUCGAAAGCGGUGAGGAGCAGAAAUAGCGGUUUGCAUUUAUGGCCUCGUGUGUAGCGCUCAUCACAAUUAAAACAAAGGUUUUUCUUUCUUCGAGCCUGCAUCUCUGCCUUAGAGAGGCGUUUAAUGGGAAGUUUGGUAGGUGGUGUGGGUAGCAGUGGCGGGAGAGGUUUAGGCUGUGUAGGUGGGGUUGUGGUCAAGGGCGGAGGGGGGAGGGAUGUGUGGCCGAAACGGUUGGGUGGCGGAAGGGAGGAACGGAGUUUGUCUUCGUGUAGUUUAGCUAAAGCAAUAGCAUGGGGUAGGUCUGGUGGUUGGAAGGCGGUGACCUCGCGACGAAGAGAGGGUUUCAAGCCGGAGAGGAAACAACUUAGGUAAAAGCUGGGUGGAUAAUCAGAGAUGCGAUUGGCCAAAACUUCAAACUCGGAUAGGUAAUCUUGUAGGCUCUAAGUCUGGGUAAGCUCGCAGAGAUCUGCAAUUGGGUCAUCGAACUUAGAAGGGGCGAAACACAAUUCGAGAGCUCGUAAGAAUGAUUCCCAGGAUGAAAGCAGUUCAUUGUUAAACAUCCAUUGAAACGAAGCUAAGGCUUGACCCUCGAGAUAAAAGGAUGUGAUCUUAAUGCGUUGGUCGGGUGGUGUUUGAUGAUAGUCGAAGAAUUGGUUGACCUUGAAGAUCCAACCAAGAGCAUCGGAGCCAUUGAAGGUAGGGAGGUCAAAUUUUAAGGGACGUGUAAGGGAAGGGGAGUGGUUUUGGUGAGGUUGAGUUUCCAGGAUUGUGGUGCGCUUGGCGAUAUCGUGGAGGGUGUUGGAAAGGUUAGCAUGGGAGAGUAAAAGUUGUUCAAGCUUUACGUUUAAUUUGGUGAGCUCAUCAUGGGGAAGGCAAGAUUCGGCCAUGGAGUAUGGGUCAAUGAAAAGCACCAAUGUAAGGAAGCUGCAGGGCAGGGAAAAAAAAUGGCAGAGAAGAAAGAAUAUUCAGAGAGGAGAAGAGAAAAAUUUCAGAGAAGGAAUUUUACUCAUAUAUUCUUGUCCCCCUCUAUUACAGUAUUGUAUUAUAUAUUAUUGUAUUAUAUAUGCAUUUGGCUCUGCCUUGCACAAAUAAUCAUGUGCAGAUAGCAAUAAAAGAAAAAAAUUCAAUAAUAAUUCCAAUCAUUUCUUGCUAACCGAAUUCUCCUUGGUUGUUGGACACGUGACCACAUAAUCUUUUAGGCGACGUGGUUGUUUUGUGAUUCUUUUGGCUCUCUCUUCUAACAGAUUCUCAACUGCUGGAGCUGGAGUAACAGCUGUGUUUGGGCUUCUAGAAGGAGUGAGGGAAAUGGGCCCUUGAACCCUUACACCAUCGAAAAAGGAUAUGUAGAGUAACGAAAAUUACCAUGAGAAUUAAUGGGAGCAUGUCUCCAUAGGUCACUGUAUAUCAAUUAAAGGAGAGACAUACUUAUUUUGAGACAAUUGGUAAACAAUGAGUUUUUCCCAUGUAACAUGCAGACAGAAAGGAAACUCAACCUUAUUAAGAAAGUUGAUAUUAUAUUGUUGAAAGACAAGACAAAGGACAUUUGAACUAGGAUGUCCUAAUGUAAGAUGCCAGUAUAUGGAAGAGUUGUNCAUNCAAGGAAAGUGGGACANNANUUUAGCUGAGGGAAGAGACAGAUUGCAAAAUUUAUAGAGCCCAUAAGGACUGACAUGACCUUGAAGAAGAAUUUCGAUGGAAUCCUGCGAUUUAACAAAACACUUGUUAGAAUAAAACUAAAAAAUGUACAGAUUGUCACAAGAAAAUUUGCAUUAACUAAUAAGAUUUUUGCUUAUACGAGGGACAUGUAAUAUACUAUGAAGAACUAGUUAGACACGAUUGCUAUAUGGAGUGGAAAACUUUGAGGAACACAGUGAAAAUAUUUUCAGACCUUGACUAUAAAAAUAUCUUAUCAAGACUUUUAAAAGAAGAAUUUUGCUGAAUGUUUUGAGCUUUAUUGUUACAUUACAGAAAGCCCCUAACUCAGAAAACCAGGUUGAGUUUGGUGUUGGAUCAAAAUCUACAAUCAUAGGCUGAGGUUAUUUCCUUUAAUAUCGUUGCUGCUAUUGUGGUUGCAACUGAGAGGAACCGGGUAAAUGCCACUGAUAAGGAUUACCACGAUUUUUUGGAUAAGAAUUCAACUAUGAUGAAUUAGAUUGAUUCCACUGCCGAGACCAAUUGGAAACUCCAUUAUUUGAUAAUUGAUAUUGGAUAUUAAACUUGUUCUACCAUGUUAAUGUGUUGUGACUGUACUUGACACAAACCUAACAUGGAAUACAUCUUUUGCCACCAGUUCGUCCUCGACCUACCCAAAGGACCACCACAAUUGCAUUGGUUUCGAAAUUUAGAAUUAUAAUUUUGAUAGUUAACAUUUUGAGUCUAAGUUCUGAUUAUCAGCAUCAGUUUGGGAACCUGAUUUAUCAAUUUAGCUUCUGUAAUAUUCACAAAAGACUGAAUCGUAAAGGAUAUGUAUGAGAGAUUAUACUUUUGAUUUCUAAGCUCAUAAGCAAGAAUUGAAUCUUCUGCUUCCUCACUUGAAAUUUCACGAAUACGACUUUCAACUAAAGAAUAAUAUAAUGAAAUUAUUUUGGUGAGCCUUUUAAAAUAGAACCAAGUGUUCACCAUGAUAAGUUGGAUCUCGAACAGCAGAAAGUGGCAGAAUUAUUACUCAACAUGGUGCCUAUAUGAUGCAAGCAUGAUAGAAAGUAAGUUUGAGUCUAACUCAUUCUCACAAAACUAGUAUGUAAGGUGAGGUUUGCACCUCACUUAUAUAUUAUAAAUUAGUCUUAUUUCUAGUCGAUAUGGAACUUUCAACAGGAAAAUCUCAUUACCUCUAAGAAAUAGUCCUUUUUCAUCUUCGGUUAGUUGUCUUGUCCUUGUGAAAAAGAAAAAUAGAACAUGGAGAUUUUGUGUAGACUAUAGAACAAGGAUAGUUUUCCUAUGUCCACACUAGAGGAAUUGAUUAACGAAUUAUAUGAUGCCAAAAGAAAUUUCAAAUUAGAUUAAGUCUGAAUAGCACCAAACUUUUGUUAAACAAAGAGGAUUUUACAAGACUAAUUUUAGUGGCCCUUAUGAGUGGAUAGUCAUAGCAUUUGGUUUGAAUAAUUCUCUAAUUACAUUCGAUCCCUCAUGAAUGAGAUUAUGAGAUUUUUACUGGUUUAUUGAGAAAAUAUGAUCCUGUUUUCGUUGAUGAGAUUCUAAUAUAUAGUUCUUCGUGGAAUGAACAUUUGCACCACUUGGAAGUCGUGUUCCAACUUCUAAGGUUGCACCAAGUAUUUGCAAAAUUCUGAAAAUGUUCUUUUGGUCUUUCUCAAAUUGAAUAUCUUGACCAUAUAGUCUGGGGUGAAGGAGUAUCAAUUGAUGAUGAAUCUGAGACUGUCAGUUGUUGUUUAGAAAUGUACUUGUGUGGUUUAAGUUAUGCAAAUCCGAGGAGUUGGANCAAGUUCUUGUGAAGGACUCAUAUCACCUUAACAUAGACAUGACAGCUUUUAAGAUGGUAUACAGAAGUGACCCUGUAGAAUUGAUAGGUAUGUCUUGGGUAGUAAUAAUCUUACAUAUUUACAAGAGAUGCUGCCGCAAUCAAGGGACUUGACUCGAUUGAAGGCAAAUCUGUUUGAAGUUCAGCAGAACACGAACAGAAGUGCAGACCAAAAAAGGUUAUAGAUUAAAUUCAAGGAAAAGACAUGGUGCUAGUUAAGUUGCAGCCUUAUAGAUGGAACUCAUCAGCUCUAAGAACAAAAUCAGAAACUAGGCUUUGGGCCUAUUCCAAUUAUGUAUGUAGAAAAUACGUCCUGUGGCAUAAAAUUUGCUUUUGCCAGGCGAAGCCAAAAUACAGAGGAUUAUGUUAUAGGUCAACGACAGGCGUCAAAUGUUUCGGAUGGUCUAAGAAACACACACAAUUUUGUUGAGUAGCACUCCUUCAGUCUCAUUCUUGUUUAGUGGCCAUCACACUGUAAUGCAGAUAUUCAUCACAAUUUUGUCAUCUUUAAUUUUCUUAAUUUUACCUUUCAUUGGACACUGAAAGAAACAAUUAUAUAUAAUCAUUUUUAGCUUAAGAGGAGCUUUUCAGCUAAAGAAACACUAACAAACAUCUUUCACUCUAGCUUUUAUUUUAAACUUUAACUUAAAAACAAAACUAAAGAAAACAAAAAAAAUUGAAUAUCAAAGAGUUGAAGCAGCAUCCUAGGAACACAUUACAGAUUGUAGCAUUCUACGCAUGCAAUGUACCUCACGAGGAUGGAGUUGCAUACGGAGGCCAGUAAAGAUGAAAUUGAAUCUUGUAGACAACGGUGAGACCCGUAAGAUCAACAGGAGAAGACGUAACAUAGCCUUGCACAAACAAGAAAUCUUCAGUGCCUCCUACGACUGGAAGAUUGGAGGAUUUGACGUUAUCUGUGACACCAACAACAGAAAGGGAGCCCUUGUGGUGCUUCAAACGAAGAGUUAGCUUUGCAAUUGAAAUGCUUCGAAGGCCGUCAAGACUAGAUGUCACUGUAGUUCCUUCUGAGAUCCCAACCAGUUUGGAGGAUCUGUUGGCUGCAACCGUCAAAGGGUCCUGAAAGGCAAACAAGGUGCCAAAAGGGGUUGUGGUUUGACUCACUGCUGCUCCUCCUUUUAUACCAUCCACUAUGAUAUACCCUGUUUUGUUUAUGGUCUCAUGUUGAAACAGUGAGAAGUGAAGGGAUUUCAGGUGUUGGAGGUGCUCAUGGGAGCUUGCAAUGCCUUUCAAUUGGAUUAUGGCCAAAACUAAAACACCAAGAACAUACUUGUGUGAGGAAGCCAUAAUAUGUUGAUUGCUUCUUCUUAUCAGAAUGGAUGCUAAGACAGAUAUCUCGUUUCAUUAUAUACAAGAAAAACAUGUUUUUUUUUUUUUG
rnacentral:lncRNA from 1 species